CUUGACGUAUUCAGUCGUGCGAAUGCGAUUCUACGUCUUGUGAUCAAGUUAUUCAAGUAUGUGAACGAUGCACUUACUCGCGGGAACGACAUUAAUAAAUAAGACAAAUGUCACAUCUUUGCUAUCAAAUGAACUUUACCCCGAGUUUAGUUUUCAUAAUUUUAUGUACGUUAAAGAAAGCAAGGAACAUGAAUCUGUUUUGGGGUAGGAAUAUAUUUUAUGUGAUCUAUAAAUCUUGUCCCUAAGGUUUGCGCCCGAGAACAAGGACAAGAUCAACGAGUAUGCCUACCUGCCGUUCGGAGUGGGGCCACGGAACUGCGUAGGAAUGCGUUUACCUCAGCUUGAGGUCAAGAUGACCGUCAUCAGCAUCUUGAUGAGGUACAGGAUCUACAAAGGAAGCGAACUUAAGGUGCCAUUACCACGCAGCCCAUACGGAUUGGCGCGCCCUGGUGCCACAGUCCAUUGCGAUUCGAGCCCCGAGGCAGGAACACAUAACAAGUACAGAAAAAAAGAAGGAAAAAACCUUUAUGAACAUAAUAGAACGCUUCGACAUGUUUUAAACCGAUUUAAACUACAAUAUUACGCUACAACAUGCGAAGGAAUAUAAUUAGGACAUUUUCUACAUAAAACUUUAGUUCGUUUAAGCAAAAUCUGCAAUGGCUGACAGCAUGAUCAUCAUACAUUUAAGUUUAUUCAUUGUUUGAUUUUUUAAUUGUAUUAUAAAAAACUAUGAAUUUUCAGAAUGUUGUUCGUUUUGAAAAAAACAGUAACUUUCUCAUUUUAAACAGAUUUUAAAUUUUACAAGUUGCUUAAAAUAAAUUGUGAAAAUGUUA